UUACAGAGUCUUUCUCCAUAUUACACACAGAGGGUGAGGAAGGGUUCAUGGGGAACGGCAAUGAGAAAUGGAGAACUAAGAGAGGUCCAGGCACAGGAGGCUAAGACUAGGCGAGGCAGGAGCGCGAGGCAAGCUCUGAGGGCCUGAGAAAGAUGGGGAGGAAGAAAACAGUAUGAAUUGAGCUGUCGGCUGGGCGCGGGGGCGUCGCGCGUACUUCUGACAGCUUCCCUCCACGAGGGGGCAGAAGGGAGAAGCCGGAAAGGGCAAAGUACAUUCCUAGGCCGGGGCAUCGACUGGGAAAGGCUCUGAAGCUGUGAAGGAACUCAUUCUUUGGCCGGGAAAGGGGAUGGGGGGACAAUAGCAGUAAGUGGCUCCCCCAAACUCGGCGGUUCAGAUCAGGGUGUGGGCAACUGCGUUUGGGGGCGCUAGAGUCCAGAUGGCAGAGAGGUAAGGGGGAUAGGGAAGGGAGGAGCAGACCGCGGGUAAGUGUAGGCGUCAGAGCAAGGAAGAAUUGAUGCUUUGAACUGUGGUGUCGGAGAAGACUCUUGAGAGUCCCUUGGACUGCAAGGAGAUCCAACCAGUCCAUUCUAAAGGAGAUCAGUCCUGGGUGUUCAUUGGAAAGACUGAUGCUGAAGCUGAAGCUCCAAUACUUUGGCCACCUGAUGCACAGGGGCGACUCAUUGGAAAAGACCCUGAUUCUGGGAAGAUUGAAGGUGGGAGGAGAAGGGGACGACAGAGGACGUGAUGGUUGGAUGGCAAAACCGACUCAAUGGAUGGACAUGAAUAUGAGCAAGCUUGGGGAGAUGGUGAUGGACAGGGAAGCCUGGCGAGCUGCAGUCCAUGGGGUCGCAAAGAGUCAGACAUGACAGCGACUGAACAACAGACUGAGGACCAAGAGCAGGGGUAAGGGGCGGAACUUGAAGCAGUAGGGCCAGGGCUUGGUGGGGGCGGGGAUCCGCGGAAGGAGGUGGGUCUAAAGUGCAUCUUCUCUCCUCUCCAACUCGACUGGAGAGGCCUUAGUUGUCGGCCUCCAGCAAGUACUGUUCAGUAUAACCCUUGACCAGUGCAAGCCCCCAGCCAGCCUGGUGGAAGUCAGCCACCAGUUGUGACCACAACUGGGGCGCAGGGAAGAGUUGGCACACGACGUUGAGACUGAAAUGGGCUCUGGAGCUGCAGAUGCUACAGAAGCUAGCUCUGCCUCUGCGCACCGUCGCUGCUGAAGGCAUCGAUGCGGAGGUAGCGCCACGUGCUGUCGCCGCGGUGCGGGAUGUGGAAAGGGCGCAUGCACAGCGUGAGCACCGCGGCGACAGCAGAAGGCGUGCCAGGUCGCUGCCAGCCUUCCACACGGCCUCCCCAGGCAGCUGCGAGAAGACGCCGGAGGCCUAGCAGCGCCUACGAGUUGAAUUGGACCAAAAGGAUGCCCUGCGUGGGGCACGAGCAAGCACGGCUCUGGGCGGUGGGAGAGCUGAGAGCCUGGCGCCUCUUGGCAUCUUCACUUCCACAGUCACACGCAUGGGCUCCCAUCUGCGUCCCUGGGGAGGGCCGACGGUGCGAGGCUGGGUGGAGUAAGGUAUGUGAGAGCAUGGAGGAACCAGGGGCAACGCCUCCGAAUACCUGGAUCCCCGAGAAGAGCGGGGAUCGACGUGGAGUAGUCAGGGAACUGGGGAUGUGGGCGUCAACAGUGGAAGCAGGGGAAGCUGAUCGCGGUAGGCCCCUGAUCACGGUAGGAUGGGGGAGGCGGAGGUAAAGGACAAAGGCUCAGAUUAGGAUGUUUUGGUUCCUGGACUGAGGCGGGAUCCAUGUAGGGGAGGCAGGGUCACGAAGCCUGGACGCCUGGUCUCCAGCCUCCCAGAGUAAGGAUCCAGGGCUUAAAGAUUGGAAGUGGAAGCUGUUUGAUUUUCCCUGGACAACAAGGUCUGGGUAAGGACUGGGAUUCCCAGGGCAGGGCUCAUGGGCGCCUCCACCGGGCAGAGCGGGCAGUGAAAGAAAGGCGGUGACUGACUGCAGGAAAGGGGGGACAAAGCCCGGAGGCCCCUUGAGGAGAGGCCCGGCCCUCCGAGCUCCUUUGUUCUGCUUGGUAAUUAGGCGGAAUUUCUUCAGCUCCUGGGGCCCUAGCUGAUCGUCCCUGGUGAGUUGUGCCACUUUGAUCCCCCAGGUGCUGUCUCUUACCAGCUGCGAACAGAAGGGCUCUAGCAGCCGGGCCACCCUCUUGCAGCGCUCCGGGGACGCCACUGCGCAGUCCCUCCGCCAGCGGCGUCUCCCCAGCGUCGAUCCGGUGUACCGACUCCCUCUCGAUCUGCGACCGAGGCCAUUGUGUGUGGGGGGGUUUGCUCUCCGACGGGGCUCUCCGUUCAAAGGACUCGCCUCUUCUCACACACUGAGCACUCCGUUGUCAUUCCCCCGGGGCGCCAGGCCAGACCCG
ensembl:lncRNA